CCCUUCACAGCGUCUCACAGGUUCAAGCUGAUCAAGUCACGUUUCAGAAACAGCAGAUAAAGUCCUGAUUCGACCGGUUGGCAACUUUCAGUCAACCUGAAAACGCAGAAUGAGAAGACGAGACUGAGCAGGAGUUAGACUUGUCCCGACAUAACCCGGUGACCUGUCCAGGAAUGUCUGAACCGGCGGGGGGGGCGGGAGACCCCACUGGGGGGGAGAAAAAGACUAACGCGAACUGAAAAAGCUGAGGUUUAAUUCAACGUUACCGCCGGUGCAGAUUUCUGCCAACCCCGGGAGUAACGCGGUCGCAGCGGGCGAGGAAAUUUCUAGAUCAACGCGACCUCCGCAAACCACGAACACAGUUUUAGGAUCGUGUCUUCCAACUUUGACCGAAAGCGCCAGAACCAUCAGGUGGCAGAGGCGGGUUCACUGUAGCUGCGUUCGUUCGCCACUGAGACCGUUCAGCACUAGAAACCCGUGUACCCGACCCGACCCGACCCGACCCGACUCGACUCGACUCGCUGCCCUCGACACCUGUUAGACCGUUUGGUGGAUAUCACUCCUGAUUCCCGCCGCCCGUGGACGCCGGAGAGCCGGCAGUUUGGCGAAGCUUGUGAUUCCUCAUAUUCCCCAAAAUGCCUUGGGACAAACCAUAGAGAGGGGUCGAAAACGUGAAGCUUCCAACCAAAACAGGCAGUUUAAAGAGUCCAACUCCAGCU